rnacentral:lncRNA from 1 species
AAACAUAGACGACAAAAUCACUUUUUGUAAAUAAUAUAUAGUUCAAUCAGUUGACCGUAAAAAAAAUCAGUUCGAUGAUGCAUUUGUAAACCGACCCCUAGUAGAGUGGGGAAAAAUGUAUUUAACCCAAUAUAAUAAACAUCAAGUUUAACUGCAGCGGAACAAUAAAUCCAUUAGAAGAGUCAAAUAGAGUAUGAUAUCUACUACCUUCUAUGAUUUAAAAAGUUUAUCAACAAUUUUAUCGCCGAGACUCAUCUUAAUAAACAGUAUCACAACCACGAAUUAUCCAUGCACUACGGGACAAUGAUAUUUGUGUUUUCACCAAUGGUCAUGAUCAUGCCAACAACUGUC